GUAGGUGGCAAGCGUUGUCCGGAAUUAUUGGGCGUAAAGCGCGCGCAGGCGGUUCUUUAAGUCUGAUGUCGAAAGCCCACGGCUCAACCGUGGAGGGUCAUUGGGAAACUGGAGAACUUGAGUACAGAAGAGGAAAGCGGAAUUCCACGUGUAGUGGUGAAAUGCGUAGAGAUGUGGAGGAACACCAGUGGCGAAGGCGGCUUUCUGGUCUGUAACUGACGCUGAGGCGCGAAAGCGUGGGGAGCAAACAGGAUUAGAUACCCUGGUAGUCCACGCGUAAACGAUGAGUGCUAAGUGUUAGGGGGUUUCCGCCCCCUUAGUGCUGCAGCUAACGCAUUAAGCACUCCGGCCUGGGAGUACGGCCGCAAGGCUG
rnacentral:rRNA from 1 species